rnacentral:rRNA from 1 species
UACGGAGGGUGCUAGCGUUGUUCGGAAUUACUGGGCGUAAAGGGCGCGUAGGCGGCCGUUUGCGUCUGAUGUGAAAGCCCGGGGCUCAACCUCGGAACGGCAUUCGAUACGGGACGGCUGGAGACCGGGAGAGGAGAGUGGAAUAGCCAGUGUAGAGGUGAAAUUCGUAGAUAUUGGCUGGAACACCGGUGGCGAAAGCGGCUCUCUGGCCCGGUUCUGACGCUGAGGCGCGAAAGCGUGGGGAGCAAACAGG